GAUGAACGCUGGCGGCGUGCUUAACACAUGCAAGUCGAACGGAAAGGCCCAAGCUUGCUUGGGUACUCGAGUGGCGAACGGGUGAGUAACAAGUGGGUGAUCUGCCCUGCACUUCGGGAUAAGCCUGGGAAACUGGGGCUAAUACCGGAUAGGACCACUUCUUGGAUGUUGUGGUGGAAAGUUUUUUCGGUGUGGGAUGAGCUCGCGGCCUUUCGGCUUGUUGGUGGGGGAAUGGACUACUAAGGCGUCGACGGGUAGCCGGCCGGUGUGGGUGAAAGACGGCCCUGGGACUGAGAUGAGGCCCAGAUGCCGAAGGGAGGCAGAAGUGGGGAAGAUUGAACAAUGGGCGCAAGCCUGAUGCAGAGAGGCCGCGGGGGGGAUGACGGCUUUCGGGUUGUAAAAUCCUUUCGCUAGGGACGAAGCGUUUUGUGACGGUACCUGGAGAAGAAGCACCGGCUAACUACGUG
rnacentral:rRNA from 1 species